rnacentral:lncRNA from 1 species
AAAGAGCGUUCUGCUUAGUUUGCAGCAGCCGUUAGACAGGUAGCCAGACCCGACAGCGGUAGCUCCGCUGGGAGCCGCCAGAGCUUUGACCUGUGUCUGGCAUGAAAUGAGUCAGUUUUCUUGAAGUACAGCAGCACAGAUAAGAGUAAGCUGUAUCGUUUGUGGAAGUUUCCUGGGUAUUUUGGAUGUGGUAUUAUUGCAACAAGGGAAUCCCAGUAGCAGGAGAUGAUACUUUGCCUGAUGAGCCAAUGGGCCCACCCAGCAACAGUGCUCGCUCCACUCCGACUUGUCCCCACUAAAUGUUCAAUAUUACAGACAUUCCUGAGCAGAGCUUUGUGUGGAAGCUAUGGGAGAAUGGAAGUAGAUCAGACCAGUCACUCACUGGGGCCUCGGACUCCAUGGCUUUGCCUUUUUCAGAGGAAGAGUGUUUUGUUCUGGAAGGAAAAUAAAAUAUUUCAG